UUGCUUUUUGUGACAUUUUGUCAUUUGGGGGGCUCACCUUCGUGACAAACCGCCUCCGAUUCAACCUCCCCAGUCCUGGGAUUGAUAAUUCGUAUCUUUUUGUCUUUGCAAGUGGUCAAUAGUUGGGAUCCGUCCCAAUUAAAGCAGGCACUGUAGACGAUAUCAGGGUGACAAUCAAUUUUGACUAGGGCUUCGCCGGUGCCUGAAAUUGGGCAAUGUUAGGUUCGGUUGAGUUUUGGGGUUUGUGGGGGGGCUUACCGACGUUCCAAAUAACCACUUGAUUGUCACUCCCGGCGGUUAGAAGUACAUUGAGGGCUGUGGGAUGCCAGAGGACUAGCCCCACGCGUCUUUGGUGAUAGAUGAGGUCGACGACCGGUUCGGUGAGAGUCUUGAUGAGCCCCCCGUCAGAAACGCGAAGAUCCGUAUCCGUCUCGAACGCGAACUUUCCGAAGUCUAACACAAGAACAAGGAACUUCAACAGUCGUCCGAACGUCUAAAAAUGGGACUUUUAUACGCCCGAAGUGACCUGAAUGGCAUCUCGGAAGAAGAUGAAGACAGCGAUGGCGGUGUCUAAGUCUCUUCAGUACAUUUUACCAUAUUCUGUAUUAUAAUUUCACUGUUGUUUAAAUAUAUUGUUUAAAAAUA